rnacentral:rRNA from 1 species
UACGGAGGAUCCAAGCGUUAUCCGGAUUUAUUGGGUUUAAAGGGUGCGUAGGCGGCCUGUUAAGUCAGGGGUGAAAGACGGUAGCUCAACUAUCGCAGUGCCCUUGAUACUGAUGGGCUUGAAUUGACUAGAGGUAGGCGGAAUGUGACAAGUAGCGGUGAAAUGCAUAGAUAUGUCACAGAACACCGAUUGCGAAGGCAGCUUACUAUGGUCUUAUUGACGCUGAGGCACGAAAGCGUGGGGGAUCAAACAGG